rnacentral:rRNA from 1 species
AACUUUCAACAAAGGAUCUCUUGGCUCUCGCAUCGAUGAAGAACGCAGCGAAGCGCGAAAUGUAGUGUGAAUCGCAGAACACUGUGAAUCAUCGAAUCUUUGAACGCACAUUGCGCCUCUCUUAACAGGGAGGCAUGCCUGUCUGAGUCUCAUUU